AAACAGGAUUAGAUACCCUGGUAGUCCAUGCCGUAAACGAUGUCUACUAGCCGUUGGGGCCUUUGAGGCUUUAGUGGCGCAGCUAACGCGAUAAGUAGACCGCCUGGGGAGUACGGUCGCAAGACUAAAACUCAAAUGAAUUGACGGGGGCCCGCACAAGCGGUGGAGCAUGUGGUUUAAUUCGAUGCAACGCGAAGAACCUUACCUGGCCUUGACAUACUAGAAACUUUCCAGAGAUGGAUUGGUGCCUUCGGGAAUCUAGAUACAGGUGCUGCAUGGCUGUUGUCAGCUCGUGUCGUGAGAUGUUGGGUUAAGUCCCGCAACGAGCGCAACCCUUUUCUUUACUUGCCAGCAUUCGGAUGGAACU
rnacentral:rRNA from 1 species